UUGACCAGGAGGCAAAACCUUCAACUGAGGACUUAGGGAAUAAGAAGGAAACAAAAUACAUUAAACUCAAAGUCAUUAGAUGGGAUAACAGUGAGAUUCACUUCAAAGAGAAAAUGACAACACAUAUCAAGAAACUCAAAGAAUUAUACUGUCAAAGAGCGGUCCAAUGAAUUUACUCGGGUUUCUCUUUGAAAGUCAGAGAAGUGCUGAUAAUCAUAUUUCGAAAGAAAUGGGAAUGGAGGAAGAAUACGUGAUUGAAAUUUAUCAGGAACCAAUGGGGUCAUUCAACAGU
rnacentral:lncRNA from 1 species